rnacentral:rRNA from 1 species
UGGAAUGAGGCAAAUCCCAUUCCUAUAACAUUGAGCUGUGAUAGCAAGGGGAUUAUUCCCUGAGUCCCUGAUUUCACGCUGCCAAGAAAAGCCUCUAGCGAGGCGGGAGGUGCCUGUACCGCAAACCGACACAGGUAGGCGAGGAGAGAAUCCUAAGGUGAUCGAGAGAACUCUCGUUAAGGAACUCGGCAAAAUGACCCCGUAACUUCGGGAGAAGGGGUGCUCUGGUAGGGUGUUAAAGCCCGAGAGAGCCGCAGUGAAUAGGCCCAGGCGACUGUUUAGCAAAAACACAGGUCUCUGCAAAACCGCAAGGUGAAGUAUAGGUGCUGACGCCUGCCCGGUGCUGGGAGGUUAAGAGGAGAGGUCAGCGCAAGCGAAGCUUCGAAUUGAAGCCCCAGUAAACGGCGGCCGUAACGAUAACGGUCCUAAGGUAGCGAAAUUCCUUGUCGGGUAAGUUCCGACCCGCACGAAAGGCGUAACGAUCUGGGCACUGUCUCAACGAGAGACUCGGUGAAAUUAUAAUACCUGUGAAGAUGCAGGUUACCCGCGACAGGACGGAAAGACCCCGUGGAGCUUUACUGUAACCUGAUAUUGAAUUCCGGUGCAGCCUGUACAGGAUAGGUAGGAGCCUUGGAUUCCGGAGCGCUAGCUUCGGAUGAGGCGUUGGUGGGAUACUACCCUGGCUGUAUUGGACUUCUAACCCAUGCCCCUUAUCGGGGCAGGAGACAGUGUCAGGCGGGCAGUUUGACUGGGGCGGUCGCCUCCUAAAGAGUAACGGAGGCGCCCAAAGGUUCCCUCAGAAUGGUUGGACAUCAUUCGUAGAGUGCAAAGGCAUAAGGGAGCUUGACUGCGAGACCUACAAGUCGAGCAGGGUCGAAAGACGGGCUUAGUGAUCCGGUGGUUCCGCAUGGAAGGGCCAUCGCUCAACGGAUAAAAGCUACCCCGGGGAUAACAGGCUUAUCUCCCCCAAAAGUCCACAUCGACGGGGAGGUUUGGCACCUCGAUGUCGGCUCAUCGCAUCCUGGGGCUGUAGUCGGUCCCAAGGGUUGGGCUGUUCGCCCAUUAAAGCGGUACGCGAGCUGGGUUCAGAACGUCGUGAGACAGUUCGGUCCCUAUCCGUCGCGGGCGCAGGAAAUUUGAGAGGAGCUGUCCUUAGUACGAGAGGACCGGGAUGGACAUACCUCUGGUGUACCAGUUGUCUUGCCAAAGGCAUCGCUGGGUAGCUAUGUAUGGACGGGAUAAAUGCUGAAAGCAUCUAAGCAUGAAGCCCCCCUCGAGAUGAGAUUUCCCAUUACGCAAGUAAGUAAGAUCCCUCAAAGAAGAUGAGGUUGAUAGGUCUGGGGUGGAAGCACGGCGACGUGUGGAGCUGACGGAUACUAAUCGAUCGAGGACUUAACCU